rnacentral:rRNA from 1 species
AUUGAACGCUGGCGGCAUGCCUUACACAUGCAAGUCGAACGGUAACAGGUCUUCGGAUGCUGACGAGUGGCGAACGGGUGAGUAAUACAUCGGAACGUGCCUAGUAGUGGGGGAUAACUACUCGAAAGAGUGGCUAAUACCGCAUGAGAUCUACGGAUGAAAGCAGGGGAUCGCAAGACCUUGUGCUACUAGAGCGGCCGAUGGCAGAUUAGGUAGUUGGUGGGAUAAAAGCUUACCAAGCCGACGAUCUGUAGCUGGUCUGAGAGGACGAUCAACCACACUGGGACAGAGACACGGUCCAGACUCCUACCGGAGGCAGCAGUGGGGAAUUUUGGCCAAUGGGCUAAAGCCUGAUUCAGCAAUGCCGCGUGCAGGACGAAGGCCUUCGUGUUGUAAACUGCUUUUGUACGGAACGAAAAGCCCCGGGUUAAUACCCUGGGGUCAUGGCGUUACCGUAAGAAUAAGCACCGGCUAACUACGUGCCAGCCGCCGCAGUAA